CGCCUUUAGAAGAACAAGCAAGUAAAAUUGGAACAAGACGGAGAUUAGUGUGCCCCCAGUGCAAGGGUGACACUCAGUUUAUGAAGCAUUCCAUAUUUUC
rnacentral:snRNA from 1 species